rnacentral:lncRNA from 1 species
CGCAGAUAUAGUGAAUCCAAAUAACCAAACACAAAGAAAAAUUCUCUUGGAGGCAAGGAAGAGAGAGGAUAAACUCCAGCAUUAAAUGGCUGCUGGUGUGUGCAAUGAGUGGCAGAAGACAAAAUGAACUAAUUAGUUGAUGUGUAAAUGAACCAACACUUCGUAUGCUCUCACAUCUCACCUGUGUUUGAUAACUGUGUUCUUGUUCUUUCUCACUGUAUCCACAAGCCAAGCAGAUUAUUUUCCGGAUAUGCUUUAAAAAGGGUUCAAACUGGGAGAAGUUGGAGGCAUAGCAGAACAGGACGAGAAUGCUGAGCCUGCGUGGAGACAGGAGGAUGCUUUUAUUGUUACGUGGAGUUGCCAUCUGUCCGUCCUGGAGGAGAGAGUCCCAGAAGAUUUUAAUCCUCAAUGAUAUAGCUUCAGGUGCCUUGCUAAAGGACAGAGAUUGGCCUACUUUCAUCUCUGCAGUACGCCAAGAUUUCUUCAGCAGACAAGUUUUGACUGAAAGACUCACCCUGAAUCACUAGAUCACACUUCACCUCCUCUCAGAAAGGGCUGCAGGAAAGAUGGAUUCAUUCAGUCAGAUGGCCAAAUUUAGAAUUUCUGACAAAUUUAGUUUUAGGUCAGUUGUUUCCUUUUUUCUUGUCAGGGUACUUAUUCCUCCAUUUAAACCUUUUCUUUUUUCCCCCCUUUUUUUGAGAAAAUAAUAUACACUGAGAACUAAGCAAAAAUUUUCUUUUGAAAUAAGAAGCUGAAACUUUUCAUUUUGAAAAUGUCCAAGUAAAAUAUUUGGACCUACUGGAAAUUUCCUGUCCUUUUUUAAUUGGGAACAAUUAGCUAAACUCAAACCAGAUUCAUGAAUAAUUUCACUUCUAACAGAAAUAGCAUUUUCCAGCAAACGUGACACACACAUAUAUAUGUAUAUACAUAUGUACAUAUACACACAUGCGCACACAUACAGACACACAGACACGCAAAGUCAAGUUAAUCGGCAAAGCUGCCACUGCUUCAUGCAGGACACAUUUUCCAUCAUGCAUUUCUGUGUGGAUGACUCUACGUGCGGGAUUUUUUUGUACCUGGGACAAUAAUCAGCAGUAGCAUUUAUCUGCAGGCUCUGUGACCUUUGCAACCAGAACCACCAUAACCAGGGCUGUGGUCUGGAGCGGCUGCUGCGCACACACCCUCCUGUUUGCACAUCGCGGGCACUGGGGCAGGCCCUGGGACUCACGCGUUCAAACCUGCAGGGCUGGUUAGCUCAGCCUCUGGGGCUCGCCGGGUGCAAGCCAAGUCACUACAGCUAGCACCAGGCAGGGCCAGGACCGGCACCACCCACCAAACAGAAUAAAUCCCAAUUUAUGCAACA